UGUGGGAGCGGGCUUGCUCGCGAAGGGGCCGUGUCAGUCGACUCCACUUUGACUGACAUACCGCUUUCGCGAGCAAGCCCGCUCCCACA
rnacentral:antisense_RNA from 1 species